AUGGCGGGGGUUCUGGAUGCUUUGGCAUCCUACGUGACCAGCAUGCUUGCCGACAUGGCUAGAGAAGAGGUGGCCAUGCUGAUUGGGGUCUUCGGUCAGAUCGACGAACUGAGCAUCAAACUCAAGGACCUCAAGAACUUCCUUGCAGAUGCCGACAGGAGGAACAUCACCGACGAGAGCGUGCGGGGGUGGGUAGAGGAAUUGAAGCGUGCCAUGUACCUCGCCACCGACAUCCUCGACCUUUUUCAUCUCAAGGCCAUGGAGCGAGGUUCAUCCAAGGACAUAGGGUGCCUUAACCCCUUGUUGUUUUGCAUGCGGAACCCCCUCCACACCCACGACAUCGGCACCCGCAUCAAGCUGUCAGGUAUGGUUGGGGAGAAGAUCGAAGACGAUACAAGAGCUCUUGUUCAGCUCCUCGCGAAAGAGGAAGGUGACAAUAGUGAUAACUUCAUGGUGUUCGCCAUUGUUGGUGUUGGUGAGAUCGGCAAGACCACCCUCAGCAAGAAGGUCUUCAAUGAUGAGGCCAUGAAAGCCAAUUUCUCAAAAAUGAUAUGCUCUUGUCAGCGCCAUCAAGGACAAGAAGUUCUUUCUUGUCUUGGACGACAUGUGUGGGGUGUCAAUGAGUGGAACAGGUUGUUGAUGACACCCUUUAGCCACGGAGCCCCCGGUAGCCGGGUCUUGGCCACCACAAGGCAUGAAGCUGUUGCACGAGGAAUAAGAUCCAUGGAGCCGUACCACCAUGUUGACAAAUUAGGACCCGAUGACGCUUGGUCAUUGCUCAGGAAGCAGAUUCUUGGAAUGGAAAGAAGUGAACCAACGAUUGAUAUGCUAAAGGAUAUCGGAUUGCAAAUUAUAGAAAAAUGUGAUGGAUUACCGCUUGCUAUAAAAGUAAUGGGAGGACUCCUAUGCCAGAAGGAGAAAGAACGACUUCCUUGGGAAAAGGUUCUGAAUGAUGCUAUUUGCGAAUAUGUCGGUAUGUGGAUUGGUGAAGGAUUUGUUCAUGGGGACUCGGAUAGAUUGGAAGAACUUGGAAUUGAGUACCAUAAGGAGCUAGCACUAAGGAACCUUAUAGAGCCAGAUAUGUCAUGUUCUGGUCCAUAUUUUUGCAACAUGCAUGAUGUGAUUCAGCAUGGUGAUUCCAUGGCUAUUUUUUCAAGUUUACGGACUCUACAUAUGGAGUCUACAGACUAUGUUGCAUUGCUUGAAUCUUUGCAUCAACUGAAACACUUGAGGGGUUUCCGUGCUCUAAAAAGUUUGAUGACAAUAUAUGGGUUCCCAGCUCAAAUGGAUGGUGAUUGGUGCAGUUUGGAAGAGCUUGGGCCUCUUUCCCGGCUUAGGUGCAUUAGAUUAGUAGGACUACAGAAUGUAUCUGCUAGUUCAUUCUCCAGGAAGGCCAGGCUUGGUGAAAAGGUGCAUCUCUCCAUGCUGCGCUUACACUGCAGCAGUGGAUUUGGCGAUGAUGGACAGAAGAAAGAAAAUGUCACUGAGAAAGAUCAAGAAGUAAUUGAGGAGGUAUUUGAUGGUCUAUGUGCAAACUGUAAAGCCAAGUCAUCUGUUGUUAGUCUACAAUUAGGCAUUAGCCUGUACCUGUAG
rnacentral:rRNA from 1 species